AGAGUCCUGCCCUGGCCAUACUGCUGCUCUUCUGGGGGGGUGGGGUGGGGAAGCAAUCUGUCACCUGAGAAGACUUAAACAAUAAGGACUGGUUUCAGCAAAGCCUGAGGUCUAAUCAGGCUUGACAUGAGCCAACAAAAGCGAGGAAACACAGUGCACAGAAAACAAAUCAUCCUUGAAAGCAGUGGGAGGAAGCCCCACAGUGGCAGCUGGAGGCUCAACCCACAUCCUGAAAUAGAUUCCAGCUUUGACAAGAAAGCGCCAUCAGUGGGGAGUCGUGCACCACAUCCAACACAUUCACGUCUGCCGCACUCGCUGAUCUAGGAAGGCUUUUUCUAGCAAGGAGUCAAGACACAAACAGAAACACAUCUGGUGUUUGCUGUCCCGCAUGUCCCUAUCCGUGCUAACCUUUCCUGAAACAGCCCAUCAGAAACAGGAGGGAGCAAUUUAGUGCAUCAUCAGGGUGCCUUUCCUUCCGAGUUUUAAGAACAAAGGCAUUAAGGUUGGCGGUCUGACAGCAGGUUUAUUCCAGCCAGAGGAGAAACACCCUAGCAAGAAAUGGGUUCGCUCAACAUGCGUGGAGUGCAGAGACUGCACACAACCAAGUUAGCUGAGUAGAAGACUAAAAAGCUACCCUGGCUUAUCUGCUGUGCCUGCACAGUGAGCCAGGAAAGAGGGAAUGUUCCGAAUGCAUCUGCUGCCAUCGUGGUCUGUGCUGUCACCAAAUCUAGCUCUGGCAUAUUGCCAAGAUACCCAUUCUCUUUCUCAGACCCACGGUCACUUGCCCUCUUUAAACUUGGCACAAAUUUCUCCAGUGUGACCUGUGCUCUUAGGCCAAUGCUCCUUUUAUUGAAACUGAAUCUAGAACAUUGAUUCUAGAAAACAAGGGGCUACUAAUGAAGGUACCCACAAAGAGCGAGUUCAUCUGCACUUUUGUAUCUUGAGAAACAUGUGAAGAUCUACACACACACACACACACACGGGAGGGGGAAUGCAAAACUAUUACAAUGUAAAAUGA